GACGAACGCUGGCGGCGUGCCUAACACAUGCAAGUCGAACGGAAAGGCCCUGCUCUUGUGGGGUUCCCGAGCGGCGAACGCGUGAGUAACACGUGAGUAACCUGCCCUUGACUUUGGGAUAUUUUCAGGAAACUGGGGCUAAUACCGGAUCGGAUCCCCCCCUGCAUGGAGGGGGUUGGAAAUUUUCGGCUGUCGGGGAUGGACUCGCGGCUUAUCAGCUUGUUGGUGGGGUAGUGGCUUACCGAGGCUUUGACGGGUAGCCGGCCUGAGAGGGUGACCGGCCGCAUGGGGACUGAGGUACGGCCCAGCCUCCUACGGGCGGCAGCGGUGGGGAGUAUUGCACAAUGAGCGGACGCCUGAUGCCGCAACGCAGCGUGCGGAAUGACGGCCUUCGGGUUGUAAACCGCUUUCGCCUAUGACGAAGCGUGACUGACGGUAAUGGGUAAAGAAGCACCGGCUAACUACGUG
rnacentral:rRNA from 1 species